rnacentral:rRNA from 1 species
AUAAUGGGUCAGCGACUUAUAUUCUGUAGCAAGGUUAACCGAAUAGGGGAGCCGAAGGGAAACCGAGUCUUAACUGGGCGUUAAGUUGCAGGGUAUAGACCCGAAACCCGGUGAUCUAGCCAUGGGCAGGUUGAAGGUUGGGUAACACUAACUGGAGGACCGAACCGACUAAUGUUGAAAAAUUAGCGGAUGACUUGUGGCUGGGGGUGAAAGGCCAAUCAAACCGGGAGAUAGCUGGUUCUCCCCGAAAGCUAUUUAGGUAGCGCCUCGUGAAUUCAUCUCCGGGGGUAGAGCACUGUUUCGGCAAGGGGGUCAUCCCGACUUACCAACCCGAUGCAAACUGCGAAUACCGGAGAAUGUUAUCACGGGAGACACACGGCGGGUGCUAACGUCCGUCGUGAAGAGGGAAACAACCCAGACCGCCAGCUAAGGUCCCAAAGUCAUGGUUAAGUGGGAAACGAUGUGGGAAGGCCCAGACAGCCAGGAUGUUGGCUUAGAAGCAGCCAUCAUUUAAAGAAAGCGUAAUAGCUCACUGGUCGAGUCGGCCUGCGCGGAAGAUGUAACGGGGCUAAACCAUGCACCGAAGCUGCGGCAGCGACGCUGAUGCGUUGUUGGGUAGGGGAGCGUUCUGUAAGCCUGCGAAGGUGUGCUGUGAGGCAUGCUGGAGGUAUCAGAAGUGCGAAUGCUGACAUAAGUAACGAUAAAGCGGGUGAAAAGCCCGCUCGCCGGAAGACCAAGGGUUCCUGUCCAACGUUAAUCGGGGCAGGGUGAGUCGACCCCUAAGGCGAGGCCGAAAGGCGUAGUCGAUGGGAAACAGGUUAAUAUUCCUGUACUUGGUGUUACUGCGAAGGGGGGACGGAGAAGGCUAUGUUGGCCGGGCGACGGUUGUCCCGGUUUAAGCGUGUAGGCUGGUUUUCCAGGCAAAUCCGGAAAAUCAAGGCUGAGGCGUGAUGACGAGGCACUACGGUGCUGAAGCAACAAAUGCCCUGCUUCCAGGAAAAGCCUCUAAGCAUCAGGUAACAUCAAAUCGUACCCCAAACCGACACAGGUGGUCAGGUAGAGAAUACCAAGGCGCUUGAGAGAACUCGGGUGAAGGAACUAGGCAAAAUGGUGCCGUAACUUCGGGAGAAGGCACGCUGAUAUGUAGGUGAAGCGACUUGCUCGUGGAGCUGAAAUCAGUCGAAGAUACCAGCUGGCUGCAACUGUUUAUUAAAAACACAGCACUGUGCAAACACGAAAGUGGACGUAUACGGUGUGACGCCUGCCCGGUGCCGGAAGGUUAAUUGAUGGGGUUAGCGCAAGCGAAGCUCUUGAUCGAAGCCCCGGUAAACGGCGGCCGUAACUAUAACGGUCCUAAGGUAGCGAAAUUCCUUGUCGGGUAAGUUCCGACCUGCACGAAUGGCGUAAUGAUGGCCAGGCUGUCUCCACCCGAGACUCAGUGAAAUUGAACUCGCUGUGAAGAUGCAGUGUACCCGCGGCAAGACGGAAAGACCCCGUGAACCUUUACUAUAGCUUGACACUGAACAUUGAGCCUUGAUGUGUAGGAUAGGUGG